rnacentral:rRNA from 1 species
AAAAUAUAAUCUGCCCCCUGAAAUUUUAAGGGCCGCGGUACUUUGACCGUGCAAAGGUAGCAUAAUCAGUAGUCUUUUAAUUGAAGACUAGAAUGAAUGAUUGAAUGGGGAAUAAACUGUAUCUUAAUUUUUUUUAGAAUUUUAGUUUAAUGUAAAAAUGCAUUAAUAUAAUUUAAAGACGAUAAGACCCUAUAGAUCUUUACAAUUUUAUCUUAUUUAUAAUUGUUAUAUUGGGGCAAUAAGAAAUAUUAAAUAUUUCUAUAAAUUUCCAUAGAUAAAUGAAUUAAUAACCUUUAUUAAAAUAAUUAAAUUAAGAUACCUUAGGGAUAACAGCGUAAUUUCUUUAGAGAGAACACAUUAACAAAGAAGAUUGCGACCUCGAUGUUGGAUUAAAAUAAAGUAUAAAUGAAGAAGUUUAUAACUUUAGUCUGUUCGACUA